UUUUGGGUUAGGAUGUUACAUGAUGUCCAUAAACGCACCACUGACAUCCACAUCUUCCAGCCGACAAUUACCCGGCUAUAAGAAACAGCUGCGCUUCACUACUGAGCUUCGGGGACUGUCUUGAAGUCAGCCGGUGGUCAGCAGUUUAAACGCUUUGUUAAACAAAUCUCCAAGAUAAGGGAUCCUGAAGAAGGAGAUCUUUAUGUUACCAUUGCUGACACACUACAGAGCAAUUUAUACAUCCAGACCUGGCGCAGCAAACCUGGCAAACCUUUUAGGACUAAGAAUAAGCACAGACUUUACAACAUCAUGUCAGUAAAAACUGCUGCAGGUAGUUGGAAACAUGGAAGUGAUCAUUCCAAAUGGUGUGUUUCUGACAGUAAAGAUUGGAUGUGUGUUGGUGACUCAAACAGAACACCACCCCAGUUCGAAAGGCCUGGUGGUGCACUGUGCAUUAAGAGCAAACCUGUGGCAGAUGCAUUUAGGAAAAUUAUAAACAUUACUGUCACUGAUAGUGUCACUGACAGUAACACUGACAGUGACACUGACUGUGACACAGGGUGGGUAGUCUAAGUUAACUGCAGCAGACCACCGUCUCGGUCUUGUUUUCUACAUUCUUCUACGUUCACCAGUUUUGAAUUUAUUGUAAAUUCAUUUCAGAUUUUAUCAAAGUGAAGCUGACUUGAAUCUGUUGCUGACAUCGUCACUCUUGUCAGUGUUAUCUAAUGUUUCUGUGAACGAUAUGAAAUUAAAAACAUCUGAGGUCCUGUUUCUGUCUGAUGACUUUCAAAAUUAGUCGCACUAGCCCCUUCAGUCUGUAUGAGCCCUUUUUCUGUGUGAGCUUGCCUGCGAGAGCUUCUGGACACUUAUAGAUCAUUAGGACUAAAGUGUUCUUAACAGAAACAGCAACAUUUUUAGUUACCUUAUCCUCAGCACUCCGUGUGUCUGUGGCCUAGACACAGCUGAAGCCUGAUUACAGCGUCUGGACUCCGAACAGCCUCAAUAACCUGGAAAGGUGCUAACCGCUAGGCUAACUAGCAACAAGAUGCCCUCCCUCUCCACAGAUGACUACCACAAACUCCUGCAGAAGAUUGCAGUACUGGAGACAAAAAUUCAUCGCUUAGAAGUAAAUGUGGAGGUAAAUGGACUGUGUGGAAAUGAAACAACCUUGCCUUUGAUUCAAAGCAAUGGCGAUGAUCAAGCUAGUACACAGCUAAGGAGCACAGAUAACAUGACCAAGAAAGUAGACUCUGUGCAUUAUUAUAAAUCAUCAAGCGAAAAUCCCCCCUUGGACUGUCCUGGUGCAAAACCAAGACAAAUCAUGUCUCCUGGAAGGGGGAGGACGUAUCACAGGCAGAGCACAGCGAGCUGAAAUCUCUGAAACUGACUGGCCUUCACUUCCUACGAGACAGAGAAGCUCUUCUACCCCUGUAUACGGGAGGAAACAGGACUGGACAGCCGUGAAUAGGAAGGUUAACAACAAACCUCCAAAACAACUGAAUGUGAAACUGCAGAACAGAUUUGCUCCACUAUCAAAGGACCCUGCAUCUAUAUCGGACAACCAUCCAUCUAAAAGUAGCGAAGUAAGGUCUGAAAAUCUGUUGAAAAGUAAAAGGCCACAGGGAAAGCUAAAGGCUAGGCCUGAAACUCUGAUUGUGGGUGACUCUGCCGUAAAGGAUGUACAAAGGAUGUGCGGUAAGAACACUAAAGUCCUCUGCUUUCCUAAGGAUAUGGUCAACAACCUGAAGGAGAGAAUUCUUCAGAUUGCAGAUGAAUAUCCAACUGUGACAAAUAUUGUUCUGCAUACAGGGUCAAACGAUGUGUCCAAACAACAAUCGGAGGUUCUGAAACGGGACUUUACUGGAUUAUUAAAUACUGUAAACUCUCUGAAUGCAGCUGUAUUCAUCAGUGGACCUGUACCGCCCGUCAGAGAAGGAGACGAGAGAUUCAGCAGAUUGUUUGCACUGAAUAAAUGGCUUAUAUCAGCAUGUACUGACCACUCAGUGCAUUUUAUCAACAACUUUAAUAUUUUUUGGGAACGCAGGCAUCUGUUUAAAGCAAAUGGAUUUAAUUUUAACAAGUCAGGGGUGAAACUGUUCACCUCCAACCUGUUUUAUUCCAUACGUCAUCCAUCUGUGCUUGGUGCCAAAGCUGAGAUAAACAAGGAGUUAUCUCAUAAAGAGGAACAAACAGUACUCCAAGAACAAACAAAGCCCAGCAGAAACCUUGAGGAGGAGCUCCAUCUGCCCCCACCCGGGAAGAGCCUCAGAAAGGAGAGACAUCUGAGGCAAGAAGAGGGGUCCCUACUUGCCUCCAACUCUCUCAACAACACCAACGACCAGGACCAGGGACCACGACCUUCCCCAGUCCCCCAAACCCCUGACAGGCCAUCACCCUCCUCCCCCUCCCUUUCUCCCUCCUCCCCACACCUGAAAUUCACUGAGGAGAUGAUGGAGCGGGUCAAUGCUGGGCUCAGAUCUACCCCCCGGCCCAAUCCCUUUUUGUCCCCCAUUAACCCCCCACCAGAGCAGCCAAAGGUUCGCCAUCGAGCCCCGCCCUCAACAGAGCAAUCAAAGUUACACUGCGCAGCCUCGCCCCCCUUAGUUCCUCCUUACCACCUUCAUGCCCUGUCUCCGCAGUCUGAUGUGUGAUGUGUGGAGGGUCCAGGCUGCGAGGAUUAUGACAGUGGUGACUUUUCCCAGGAGAAGCUAGGACCCUGUUUACU